rnacentral:rRNA from 1 species
UGGGGAAUUUUAGACAAUGGGGGCAACCCUGAUCCAGCAAUGCCGCGUGAGUGAAGAAGGCCUUCGGGUUGUAAAGCUCUUUUGUCAGGGAAGAAACGGUGAGGGCUAAUAUCCUUUGCUAAUGACGGUACCUGAAGAAUAAGCACCGGCUAACUACGUGCCAGCAGCCGCGGUAAUACGUAGGGUGCAAGCGUUAAUCGGAACUACUGGGCGUAAAGCGUGCGCAGGCGGUUAUGUAAGUCAGAUGUGAAAUCCCCGGGCUCAACCUGGGAAUGGCAUUUGAGACUGCAUGGCUAGAGUGUGUCAGAGGGGGGUAGAAUUCCACGUGUAGCAGUGAAAUGCGUAGAGAUGUGGAGGAAUACCGAUGGCGAAGGCAGCCCCCUGGGAUAACACUGACGCUCAUGCACGAAAGCGUGGGGAGCAAACA